GGACCCGCACAAGUAGUGGAGCAUGUGGUUUAAUUCGAAGAUACGCGCAGAACCUUACCAGGGCUUAAAUGUAGUCUGACAGGGGUGGAAACACCCCCUCCUUCGGGCAGAUUACAAGGUGCUGCAUGGUUGUCGUCAGCUCGUGCCGUGAGGUGUCAGGUUAAGUCCUAUAACGAGCGCAACCCCUGCCGUUAGUUGCCAGCAUGUAAUGAUGGGAACUCUAACGGGACUGCCGGUGCAAACCGCGAGGAAGGUGGGGAUGACGUCAAAUCAUCACGGCCCUUACGUCCUGGGCUACACACGUGCUACAAUGGCCGGUACAGAGGGCAGCCACACCGCAAGGUGGAGCGAAUCCUUAAAACCGGUCUCAGUUCGGAUCGGGGUCUGCAACUCGGCCCCGUGAAGCUGGAAUC
rnacentral:rRNA from 1 species